GUGCACAGGGGAGAGAGGAGGUGGAUGAGACGGCAGAUGUGUCAUUGUAUACUACUGGGCCUCAUGAGCCAGGCCUGUGCAAAGUGCUCUGAAUAGGAAAUAGCAUUGAAUAGGAAAUGACCAGAGCAGAGCAGAGGGUUGGGGGAAGGAAAUGAUGCUUGAGCUGAGCCUGAAAGACUGAACAAAGGGUUCACAGGCAAAGAAAAGGGAGGGGGCUUAAGGGUGGCUCGUGUAUUCCCUGGGCAGUGGCUAAAGAGCCCCUGGGAACACUGGCCCCCUCUCUGCUCAGCUGCUGGUGCCCUCAGCUCCCUCCCAAUGAAAUGAGCUGUUCCUGGAGUAAUUCUGGAAGUUAUUGAUGACACCCAACAGAAAGGGUCAGACCAAUCUUACAGUUACCAUAGGUGAAACUGUUGGGGGGAGGGAAGAAUUAUGAGAGACAACAUAUACCCACUACUGUAUAAAAUAGAUGAGUAACGAGAACCUACUGUACAACACAGGGAAAUCUACUCAAUAGUUUGUAAUAACCUCUAUGGGAAAAAAGAAUGGACACUACUUCACUUUACACCUGAAAAUAAUACAACAUUGUAUAUCGACUAUACUCCAAUAAAAUUAAAUUUAAAAAAACAAAACAGAAGGGUCAGACUGACCGUAGGUAUAAUCUCGGCCCUUCUACUUACUAGCUCUGUAAUCCAGUUCCCCAUGUUUCGUCUUCCUCACCUGCAAAUUGUGGAUGACAGUGAUGCCUGUCUAAUGAAGUUGCCAUGCAAUUCACUGAGAUAAUGUUUUAAGUACUUAGUGGAAUGUUUGACAAAGAGUGGGUAUUCAAUAAAUACUAGCUUUUACCAUUGUUGUUAUUUUUAUUAUUAACAAGCAGCUGAUGUGUCUGUUCCCACACCAUCAAAGGAAUAUUAGUUCCCUUAAGAAGAUGUGGUACAUAUACACAAUGGAAUACUACUCAGCCACAAAAAAGAAUGAAAUAAUGCCAUUUACAGCAACAUAGAUGCAACUAGAAAUUCUCAUACUACAUGAAGUAAGUCAGAAAGAGAAAGAUGAAUACAAUAUGCUAUCACUUACAUGUAGAAUCUAAAAUAUGGCACAAAUGAACCUAUCUACAAAGCAGAAACAGACUCACAGACAUAGAGAAUAGACUUGUGGUUGCCAAGGGAGAGGGAGUUAGAUGGACUGGGAGUUUGGGGUUAUUAGAUGCAAACUAUUACAUUUAGAAUGGAUAAGCCAUUCUGUACAGCAGAGGGAACUAUAUCCAGUCUCUUGGAAUAGACCAUGAUGGAAGAAAGAUGAAAAAAAAGAAAGAUAGAAAAAAAAAUAUAUAUGUAUAGCUGGGACACUUUACCAUAUAGCAGAAAUUGGCACACCACUGUAAAUCAACUAUAUUUAUAUUUUUAAAAAUUAUUUGAAUUUUUUAAACUAUAGGGCUGCUCUAAAAAAUUACCAUAAAUCAGAUGGCUUAAUGCUAUAGACAUGUAUCCUCUCACAGUUCUGGAGGUCAGAAAUCUGAAACCAAGAAGUCAGCACGGCCUCAUUGCCUCUGAAGACACCAGGAAAGAAUCUCUUCCUUGUCUCUUCCAACUUCUGGUGCCUACUGGCAUUCCUUGGCUUCAUGCCACAUCACUCCAAUCUCUGUCUUCACAUUGUCUUCCCUCUGCGCCUCUGUCCUUUUCUGCCUGUCUUAUCUUCCUUUGCCUCUUAUACACUGAAGGUAUUUAAGACCUGCCUAGAUAAUCCCAGAUAACUUCCCCUAGGAUUUAUCCCAGAUCCAGAUAAGAUCCUUAACUAAAUUACAUCCAUGACAAUAUAAGGUAGUAGCUACUCUUUUGCUAUUUAAGGUAAUAUUCACAGGUUCUGGGGACUAGGACUUGGUCAUACCUUUUUGGGAGUUACUACGAAACCCUCUACAAAAGUCACUUCCUGGAGGAAUGGAUUUGGGAAGCAGGGAUUUUGUUUGCUUCUUCUACUUAAGAGGUUUUUUCGUUUGUUUUUGUUUUUUGUCUUUUUCUAGGGCUGCACCCAUGGCAUAUGGAGGUUCCCAGGCUAGGGGUCUAAUUGGAGCUGUAGCUGCUGGCCUAUGCCAGAGUCACAGCAACACCAGAUCCGAGCCACAAUCUGUGAUCUACACCACAGCUCAUAGCAAUGCCGGAUCCUUAACCCACUGAGAAAGGUCAGGGAUCAAACCCGUCACCUCAUGGUUCCUAGUCAGAUUCAUUAACCACUGAACCACGACAGGAACUCCCUUAAGCGUCUUAAUUCCUGACAACGUUUGAUUAUCAGCUGCAAAACCCUCUUUGUUGUCUUUCCAGAGACCCAUUCAUGGUCCAUCCUGCCAGACCCUAACAGACAGAGCCUUCAUGGUCACUACGUCCUCCGAAUCAUGGUACGCACAGCCUGGGGGUGAGUUUGGAGAAUGGUGGGAUGAGAAAGAAUAGGCUAUAGUGACCAGAGACGUGGAUCUGGGACAAAGGAACUCAAAAGAGAAAGAAUAUCAGAUUUUAGCACACAUUAUACAUAACAAUGGGGAUGCUGCAGACCCAACUGUGGGUCAUCUGGUCUUCUUACGUACCUGAACAUGAACUAAGUGAUGAUUAAUUCUCACUCUUGACAUUAAGUGGAUUUCAUGCCUUCAAAACUGUUGAAUAGAGAAUUACUCCCAAUCCCUGAUUACUGAGGAGGGAGAAACACCAAACUGCACAAUUCAAGAUGGCAUCAUGCCUAUUGUAUUCUAUGGAUUUGUAGCUUGUGGUGCCAUCAGUGCCUUGGAUUCAUGUGUACUGUGGCAGCUCUGUGAGCAGGAAACAGGGGUAUGAGAAAUGGCCCUGCCUGUAAGAUCAGAGGUCUCAAGCAGAGUUUCCAAACUAUAAGUUGUUAAGAAUGGAGACAGAGAGCCUCAGCUUUCUUUAGCCCAGUUCAGCACUCUGACCUUCUCUGUAAAUAUCCUUAUCGCCCACAGAACUCAGUGUUCUCAUUGUAAAAUCAGAGGAUGUAGGAGACUAAGUAAGACCUCCAAAGAUAUCCCAAUGUUAACACAGCUUGUUAGACAAUAACAAAAAAGAAUCACAUUGGUUAAUAUCACCAUGAACUUCAUAUAAGAAAAAUGUAACUACUGGGAAGCUGUCCAGGCUCACAGUGCCAGAUAUGAGUUUCAAAAUUCUAAUCUGCAUUGAAAAUGUGAAUUUUAUCACUGCAACAAAUUCUGCCAGUAAAGUUUCCUUGAAGUAACAGAUUCACCUCAUUCAUUUUUGAGAAACUAUUCGCCAAAUACUCAAAUCUGAGUAACCAUCGUUUGUCAGCCACUUUUUUAAAGCAAAAUGGUGUUCCCUGAAAAAAACUGGCUAGUCCAUCUCAAACAACUGCACAGUUGCUUUCUCCCUAAACAACCACUGUGCUUUAGUGUGCAGCAGAAUGUUUUAUGCACAGUGUACUUUCCUUUCAUCGCACAGAAUUUAAAAAGAGGUGUACUCAAAGGUCAAAGCUUAAUAAAAAUUAAUACUUUUUCUGCUUCAUCAAGGACAUCCUAAUGUGAAAGAGGUCUUAUUUUUACAGUGAGUACAACAGUAAGGAAAACACCGAUUAUCAGAGCAGUUGGGCCCACUGCCUGGAUUUGCACCAAGGUGCCAGCAAUUUUAUCUACAUUGCCUUCGCCUCAUCAGUGCAAACGUCAACCCCUCGAAAAUAAAUAAAUAAAAAAUGUCGAAAGGGCAAGUAACAUCUCAGUGUGAUCGUGAAAAUAGGUUUGGCAUCACGUACCUCCUGAAAAUGUUUCAGACGCCCCUCAGGUCCACAGACCACCCUGUGAGAACCUCUGUGUUCACAUACUUUCUCGUUCUAAGAAUUCGUGACCCUCCCUGACACCAGAUCUUUAGAUGACUUUAUCUAAACCUACCGUCAUAACUGGUGCCAUAGAAGAAAUAAGAGUAGCCCCAACAUUCCUACUACUCCCCCCAUUCCAUUUAGAUUCUGAACCAAGGGAUGUAAGGUAUGGCUGAGAGGGGGCAGGGGGCGGGGUGUUAUUCAAAUAUGAGCACCCAGUUGAGUUUACCAAACAGCAUCCUGAAUUAACACUGGGUAACAGAAUAAAGAGAAAGGGACCCCUUUCAGGGACCCCAGAGAGUGUCCCAGGCCCCUCCAAGUCUUUCCCAGGUGGUUUUCAGGAAGCUCAUCCUUUCUGCGGGGCUGUUUAUCUCCUUCUCCAAUUAAUUCCUCCUGACAUCUAACACUAGCCACUUAAGCAGUGAUUUCUGGUCUAGGUCAGCCACUCCACAACUAUUUAUAAUCCUGCAGGAAGUCAUUGCUCUUCAUUUCAAGACGACUGAUUUAAAAAAAAACAAAACCCACUAAUUAUGGCAGUUCAUAGAAACUUCAAAGGGCGGGGUGGGGACAGAGUGACCCAGUAAGUCACUAUUUUCUCUGGUACCUAGCUCUCCAACCACGCAGACGCCUUUAUCACCGUCUUUCUGAUUAGCAGCUUUUAAGAAUAGCUGGGAUUCACAGAAUCAGGGAAGCAGGAUGGGGAUGAGAUUUGCAUCAAAGCGCACGGUUUUUAGAGUAUUAAUAAAUCUAAAUGCAUCCUCUGAGGACAGGCAAUGCUGCUGCAGAGCACUGGGUGAUAUUUCGAAGUCUGUAAAGAGCCUCUGAAAUAAAUGUCAGGGUGGAGGUUUGGUAUCAGGUUGAAAGUGGUAAGAUUUCAGCACAGUAAAAAAAAAAAAAAACAGCUAAAUACAAAUUAAUCUCUGUCUUCCUCUGGAGCCAUCAGGGGGCAUUCACUGUGACCUUGAGGAUUUAGUCAAACGGGCACAAAGGAGGUAAAAAAAGUUUUCCCAAAAAGAACCAUGCAGCUGGCUGAGAAUUUCUCAUCUCCACACUUCCUGUCUCUGAUCUAUUUAACAAAUAUCAUUGUUUUAGCACCUACCCUGUGCCUAACUCUGAGCUGGAAACAAUAUAAAAUUUAUUAGUAUAAAACCAUUUAUCUCAAGAAGUUUCCAAUUUUCUGAAGGAUCUAACAAUCAUGCAAAACUAUAAAGGUGGCACGUGCAGUGAUUAAAAGCAUGGAUCUUUCACUUUUAACUGUGCCAUGUUGGACAAGGUUUUUUUAAAACCUUCUGAACACCAGCUUCCUCAUCUGUAAAGUGAGGAUAAGCCUCAUACAUCCCUCACAGGGCUAUUUUGCUUAUUAAAUGAAAUAACACGUGUGGAGAGCCUCGUAAAGAGCCUGUACUUAGCAUUCAAGACAUCUGAGUCAAUUAUAGUAACGAGUAUUUUUGAGGGCCUAAAUAAUGACUUUCCCUCUUAGUGAUAACCAGGGAGCAUUAUUCCUAAUUUUAAUUGUGGAGCUCAAGUCUCAGAAAAAUGCAAUAACUCACUGGACCAUGAUGCCUCUCAGAUGAGAAUUAUUGCAAAAGAGCAGAGAAAAGGACAGGAAUUGAAAAGAUAUGGGGCCCACUAAUAAUUGUGGUAGCCUGUCUCCAAGAUGGUGCCCAGUGAAAUGCAGUACUUGUGCCCUGUGUAGUCCUCUCACACAGUGACUGGGCUGGCCCUGUAAUGGCAGAAAUGAGGCUACAUGACGACAGAGGCAGGCUAAAGAUGCCUAGCAGCUUCCACUUGGGUUCUUUGGGAUGCUUGCUCUUCAGAUGCUCCAUCUUGGAGCUCAGCCACUAUGCUGUGAGAAGCCCAAGUCCCUGCCCCAGCCGAGCUCCCAGCCAACAACAAGCACCCAGUGGCCUUGUGUGUGCGCCACCCUGGGCUUGUAUCCAGAUCAAGCCUCAAGAUGACUAUAGCCCAGCCACCAUCUGAGUACAACUGCUUUUGAGAAAUCCAAAUGAGAACUGCCUUGUGGAGGGGGCCCCCUUGCAUUUAGAAAGUAGGAAGAUGCAAGGGAAUCUCUCAGCCUAACAGUGAGAAGUAACUAGGAGCUCUCUGGUAGCUCAGUGGGUUAAGACUCCAGGGUUGUCACUGCUGUGGCUCAGGUCACUGCUGUGGUGCAGGUUUGAUCCCUAGCCUGGGAACUUCCGCAUGCUGCGGGUUCAGCCACACACACACAAAAAAAGUAACAAGAUGCCCUAAACAAUCCUAACUUUUGUGGAGCCCAUCAGAGAGCUAACAUCACAAGGUAAGUAGGUUAACUUAAUUCCAAAGGGCAGGGAGCUCCUCCAAGCAGUGAUGGGACGCACGAUCUGUCUCACAGAGCAAAGCAUGGUCAGCAGAGCCUCCACAGACGCAGGCAGCAGGGGUGGGGGGAUCCACUCUUCUGUUAGUCUCCGUCUGGUGGACUCAAACUAUUUUAUAAUUUUAAAGGGUCUGGACUGAGAAGCAGACCACCUGUGACCAGGCUCUGUGACCCUGGGAAGGAGCCUGCACUCUGGCCCCUGUCUCUUCUAUCUGGCUGUGGCUGCCAGCUCCCUGCUGCAGAGACCACGACGGUGACAGUGAGUGUGCCCUUCAGACAGCCACACCUGAAUGGAACAGGAAGGCAACUGAGAUGGGGCGGCCCAGACACUCAGGGACAGACAGUGGCUUUGACAGACCUCACAGCUGCCAAAUCAGCAAAGGUUCUGAAUACCUCCUGCCCUUCUUGUUCGCUGAUUAAUGUGCACAGCUUUAAAUACCCCCCAGCUCUCCAUACCUCCCAUGCCUCGGCACCGACACACUCACCAGACACAUGCAGUACACACACACCCACACCCACACCCACACCCGUGGUGAGGAAGAGCCAGGCAAAGGGACUGAGAACCAUUUUCCCAGCAAAGUGAUCACAGCUGCCAAAUUACUUGACAAGUUAAAUGAAGCAGGGAUGAUAAAUUCCCUUAGUGAGUUUCUAGAAGGCCAAAACAAACGGAGCACAAAAGCCCUGAGAAAAGUAGGAAUGUUUUUUGAAAAAUACCACCUAUCAAGGCUCUACUAAAUGCCAGAUCCUUCUUUUUUUUUUUU
ensembl:lncRNA